rnacentral:rRNA from 1 species
GUGCCUACGGGGCGCAGCAGUGAGGAAUAUUGGUCAAUGGCCGAGAGUCUGAACCAGCCAAGUAGCGUGAAGGAUGACUGCCCUAUGGGUUGUAAACUUCUUUUAUAUGGGAAUAAAAUGUUCCACGUGUGGGUUUUUGUAUGUACCAUAUGAAUAAGGAUCGGCUAACUCCGUGCCAGCAGCCGCGGUAAUACGGAGGAUCCGAGCGUUAUCCGGAUUUAUUGGGUUUAAAGGGUGCGUAGGUGGAGUGUUAAGUCAGUUGUGAAAGUUUGCGGCUCAACCGUAUACUUGCAGU